AUGGAGGCAGAGCGAGAGAGGGGCCCAGAGAGAGAAGAGAGGGAGAGAGAAGGAGAAUCUGUGGGAGAAGGGGACUUGGAGAGAGAGGGAGAAAGUGAACAAGAAGUAGAAAGAGCAGAAGCGAUAGAGAGGGGGAGAGAUGUCAUUGGAUCCCUUAUUGGACUGCCGUAUACCACCCUAUCCAGCGAGGACCCCACUGUGCUGCCUGGCGAGGAGACAGAGCUGCCCAUGGAGAUGCCUGCCGCACUCGCAGAGGAGAGGACACCAGUGUCUGUCCCUCUGCCCCCUUCCACACCCGGUGAACCAGAGGAGCGAGGGAUGGCUAGAGAGAGAGGGAGAUGGAGAGAUAGCCCCACCCUACAGGAUGUUACUCCCCCAGUGAAGCAACCUCGUAGGAGGCAGCUGCUCUUCAUCGACCAGGAAACACAGAUAUCCCAGGAGGCACUGCAGCAACAGAUAGACAACACUCUCAUACAGACCAGGCCCCUGGUACACACACACACCCCCACACACACACACACAUUUGAACUAUACACUCAAAACUGUAAUAAUUAACAAAGUAUUCAUAAACAAGUCAAUCAAUUAGUGAAAGUGUGAGAGUAAGUAAGAUGUGUGUGCGNNNNNNNNNNUGUGUGUGUGUGUGUGUGUGUGUGUGUGUGUGUGUGUGUGUGUGUGUGUGUGUGUGUGUGUGUGUGUGUGUGUGUGUGUGUGUGUGUGUGUAGGUACCUAGAGAGUUGGCAGAGUCUGGCCUGUCCCAACAUGAUGUUUCCAGUAAGAUAUUACAAUACUGUAGUAUCAUUCCAUAGAUCAUUCAUAUAAGGCUAAGGGACGUGUGCUUGGUCAUCUCGCCGACAGUACACCCUCUACAUCUCACGAUAGAUGUUAACUCUGUGUGUUCCUCCAGCUCGGUCUCCGCUGUCCCUGGAGGUCUCUGAUAGAGACAUGUCCCGGGAGACCUCCCCCCUGGACACACCCGAGAGCAGAGGGUGAGAAAAGAGGGAGGAGAAGAGGGGAGGAAGAGAGUUGUGUAUUGUGUGCAACUGGUAGUUACAUACAGUUGACACCUGAUAAUGUCAUAUUGUGUUGUGUUCAGGUCUCCUGUCCCCAGGUCUGUGUCCAAACUGAAGGACAUUCCAGAGGAGGGCGAGGGACCGCUGGAGAGAGAGGCAGAGGACAUACCUAUGGCUGACUUAUCAGCAGAGCUACAAGAGUAAUAAUCUAGCUAUUAUAUCAUCAAAUUAUAGUUAUUUUAUAUUUUGUCUUCUGUUUUAUUUCUUCUUCUGUUUUAUUUCUUCUUCUGUUUUAUUUCUUCUUCUGUUUUUAUUUCUUCUUCUGUUUUUAUUUCUUCUUCUGUUUUAUUUCUUCUUCUGUUUUUAUUUCUUCUUCUGUUUUUAUUUCUUCUUCUGUUUUUAUUUCUUCUUCUGUUUUUAUUUCUUCUUCUGUUUUAUUUCUUCUUCUGUUUUAUUUCUUCUUCUGUUUUUAUUUCUUCUUCUGUUUUUAUUUCUUCUUCUGUUUUAUUUCUUCUUCGGUUUUUAUUUCUUCUUCUGUUUUUAUUUCUUCUUCUGUUUUAUUUCUUCUUC
rnacentral:lncRNA from 13 species